AGUCGAACGAGGUGGCCCACAGAAUUUGAUAGAAACUUUGAGAGCUUGCUCGAGAAGUGGAAAGAGAAGGACGUGGAAUUUCCACCUAGUGGCAAACGGGUGAGUAACACGUGGGUUACCUACCUCUUAGAUGGGGAUACCAAUUGGAAACGAUUGUUAAUACCGAAUGUGAUCUACGGAUUAAAGGAAGCCUUUAAAGCUUCGCUAAGAGAUGGGCCUGCGGUGCAUUAGAUAGUUGGUGGGGUAAGAGCCUACCAAGUCAACGAUGCAUAGCUGAACUGAGAGGUUGAUCGGCCACACUGGGACUGAGACACGGCCCAGACUCCUACGGGAGACAGCAGUUAGGAAUAUUCGUCAAUGGGGGAAACCCUGAACGAGCAAUGCCGCGUGAACGAUGACGGUCCUCUGGAUUGUAAAGUUCUGUUGUUUGGGAAGAACGGCUCUAAUAGGAAAUGAUUAGAGAUUGACUGUACCAUUCAAGAAAGCCACGGCUAACUACGUGCCAGCAGCCGCGGUAAUACGUAGGUGGCGAGCGUUAUCCGGAUUUAUUGGGCGUAAAGCGUCCGCAGCCGGUUUAUUAAGUAUAGAAUAAAACUUCGGGGCUCAACCCCGUCUCGUUCUAUAAACUGAUAGACUAGAGUGUGGUAGAGGCAAGUGGAAUUUCUAGUGUAGCGGUAGAAUGCGUAGAUAUUAGAAGGAACACCAGUGGCGAAGGCGACUUGCUGGGCCAUCACUGACGGUCAGGGACGAAAGCGUGGGGAGCGAAUAGGAUUAGAUACCCUAGUAGUCCACGCCGUANACGAUGAGCACUAAGUGUCGGGCAACCGGUNCUGA
rnacentral:rRNA from 1 species